rnacentral:rRNA from 1 species
AGCGAACGCUGGCGGCAGGCCUAACACAUGCAAGUCGAACGAACCCUUCGGGGUUAGUGGCGGACGGGUGAGUAACACGUGGGAACGUGCCUUUAGGUUCGGAAUAACUCAGGGAAACUUGUGCUAAUACCGAAUGUGCCCUUCGGGGGAAAGAUUUAUCGCCUUUAGAGCGGCCCGCGUCUGAUUAGAUAGUUGGUGAGGUAAUGGCUCACCAAGGAUACGAUCAGUAGCUGGUCUGAGAGGAUGACCAGCCACAUGGGGACUGAGACACGGCCCAAACUCCUACGGGAGGCAGCAGUGGGGAAUCUUGCGCAAUGGGCGAAAGCCUGACGCAGCCAUGCCGCGUGGAUGAUGAAGGUCUUAGGUUUGUAAAAUCCUUUCACCGGUGAAGAUAAUGACUGUAGCCGGAGAAGAAGCCCCGGCUAACUUCGUGCCAGCCGCCGCCGUAAUAC